rnacentral:rRNA from 1 species
UACGUAGGGGGCAAGCGUUGUCCGGAUUUAUUGGGCGUAAAGAGCGUGUAGGCGGCCGUACAGGUCAGCUGUGAAAAACUCGAGGCUCAACCUCGAGACGUCGGUUGAAACCGUACGGCUAGAGUCCGGAAGAGGAGAGUGGAAUUCCCGGUGUAGCGGUGAAAUGCGCAGAUAUCGGGAAGAACACCCGUGGCGAAGGCGGCUCUCUGGGACGGUACUGACGCUGAGACGCGAAAGCGUGGGGAGCGAACAGG